GAGAUGCCCCUAUGGAGCAGGACAUGCUUCAGUGAGGCCUUGGUGGUGCUCACUGAGUCUGCCCCAUGAGUGUGUCGCU
rfam:Myotis lucifugus cont2.17729, whole genome shotgun sequence.